GUCUGACAACUGAAGCCAUUAAAUUAUAAUUAGUUGAUAAUUAAUUGAUUUUACCAGUAAGAUUUUUCUUCCCUAUCGUCCAUGCAAAUUUCAGUCGACUCCAAAAGGUUUUUGUAAUAGACGGCACUUUCGUUGUUGGAUUCUGUAUUUCUUCUAUUAAUCGUCUUUGUAGAUGCGAAUAUCCCAUAUACAAAACGAAACAUGUGAAUAUUAUUAUUAUACAACUGUAAACAUUUAAAUCGAUCAUUUUAUUUUCAAAAUUAAAUUACAAUUUAGACGUUUUUAUGAAAAAAAAAUAUUUGUGUAAAUAAAUUUAGGAGUAAAA